GAGGGCAAGUCUGGUGCCAGCAGCCGCGGUAAUUCCAGCUCCAAUAGCGUAUAUUAAAAUUGUUGCAGUUAAAAAGCUCGUAGUUGAAUUUCUGCUGCUCCGCAUUUUCCCUUUGAGGGGUUUUUGCGCUGUGGCUUAUUUCGGACUGUGUUAUGCACUGUCCGGAUGUUUACUUUGAGAAAAUUAGAGUGCUCAAAGCAGGCUUUUGCCUUGAAUAGUUUAGCAUGGAAUAAUAAAGUAGGACUUUGGUUCUAUUUUGUUGGUUUUAGGUACCAAAGUAAUGGUUAAUAGGAACAGUUGGGGGCAUUCGUAUUUAACUGUCAGAGGUGAAAUUCUUAGAUUUGUUAAGGACGAACUACUGCGAAAGCAUUUGCCAAGGAUGUUUUCAUUAAUCAAGAACGAAAGUUAGGGGAUCGAAGACGAUCAGAUACCGUCGUAGUCCUAACCAUAAACUAUGCCGACUAGAGAUUGGAGGUCGUCAGUUUUUACGACUCCUUCAGCACCUUGAGAG
rnacentral:rRNA from 1 species